CCUACGGGCGGCAGCAGUGGGGAGUAUUGGACAAUGGGGGGAACCCUGAUCCAGCCAUGCCGCGUGUGUGAAGAAGGCCCUCGGGUUGUAAAGCACUUUCAGUGAGGAAGAACGCCUGGUGGUUAAUACCCAUCAGGAAAGACAUCACUCACAGAAGAAGCACCGGCUAACUCCGUGCCAGCAGCCGCGGUAAUACGGAGGGUGCGAGCGUUAAUCGGAAUUACUGGGCGUAAAGCGCGCGUAGGUGGCUUGAUAAGCCGGUUGUGAAAGCCCCGGGCUCAACCUGGGAACGGCAUCCGGAACUGUCAAGCUAGAGUGCAGGAGAGGAAGGUAGAAUUCCCGGUGUAGCGGUGAAAUGCGUAGAGAUCGGGAGGAAUACCAGUGGCGAAGGCGGCCUUCUGGACUGACACUGACACUGAGGUGCGAAAGCGUGGGUAGCAAACAGGAUUAGAUACCCGGGUAGUC
rnacentral:rRNA from 1 species